UCUGCCACCGAAUACAUUAGCAUGGGAUAAUGGAAUAGGACCCUGUCCUCCUAUUUUGCGUGUUGGUUUUCGAGGACCGGGUAAUGAUUAAUAGGGAUAGUUGGGGGCAUUAAUAUUUAAUUGUCAGAGGUGAAAUUCUUGGAUUUAUGAAAGAUUGACUUCUGCGAAAGCAUCUGCCAAGGAUGUUUUCAUUAAUCAAGAACGAAAGUUAGGGGAUCGAAGACGAUCAGAUACCGUCGUAGUCUUAACCAUAAACGAUGCCGACCAGCGAUUAGGAGACGUUGAAUACAAAACACCACCGUUGGGUCGUGGCGGGCCGUGCCCCGCGGUCCGUCGUGCGCGGCGACGCGUGCGGCGGCCACGGGGACCGCGGUCCGUAUCAGCCACCCGACGGCCCGGUGAAUGA
rnacentral:rRNA from 2 species